rnacentral:lncRNA from 1 species
UCUCAAAUCACAAUAUGCAAUAUCAAAUCAGCAGUUUGAAUAAUUCUCUUAUCCUAUCAACAUGUACAAUCACACACACUUUUUGAGGUCUUUUAGGGUUGUAACGGGGCUUGGGUUUAGGUAGGCUAUGAAAGUUGAACCUAGGUUUUUUUUUUUUUUUUUUUUGGGUUCAGAGUACAUGAGUCAUUCUUUUACUACGUUU